rnacentral:rRNA from 1 species
GAGAGUUAAACAGUACGUGAAAUUGUUGAAAGGGAAACGAUUGAAGUCAGUCAUACCAACGGGAAAUCAACCUUUUGAGCUUGGUCUCGUGGGUUUUGAAGAGUUUCAAAGCCUUCGGACUCGCGGGAUUGGGAUCUCUCGGUGUACUUUCUCGUACGGUUAGUCAACAUCGGUUUUGAAUGUCAUAAAAUGACUGGAGGAAUGUAGCUUCGAUCUCGUAUUGAAGUGUUAUAGCCUUUGGUAGAUGUGAUGUUUGAGACCGAGGAUUGCAACGGAUACCCUUCAGGGCUAUUCGUCUGAUCUCUGAUACGUUGCCCUGAUGUUGAAAGCUUGCUUAUGAUGUUAGGGUAUUACGGUCAAAAGGUUAGAACGAAUUACAUUCGUUAAGGAUGUUGACGUAAUGACUUUAAACGA